GUGGCCGUGGUGUAGCGGCAGCACUCGGGGUCGUGAACCCUGCAGCGUCGGUUCGAUCCCGGCCGGCCACCCA
rnacentral:tRNA from 1 species